AAAGUCCGACCGGGAGAAAAGACUUCACUCCCGUAGCUUGAGAGGCACCGUGGAGUGAAAAUGAAACGGUGAAGCCCUUUGACAACACACUCAAGGAGUGUGAGCGAAACUCCAGGUUGUAAUCACAAUGAACGUAGAUGUAGCCUCGUUACACGAAAUCCGGUGGCUGAGACGGUCGAUAACGUGCGAAAGCAACAAGUGCUGACCGAAAAGAGUCUGAAACGGCAGUGCUCACCGGCGGGGUAUCAACG
rfam:Desulfotomaculum acetoxidans DSM 771, complete genome.